UUAUAUGGUCAAGUGAAUAAGC
rnacentral:rRNA from 1 species